rnacentral:rRNA from 1 species
GGUAGCAUAAUCAUUUGUUCUAUAAUAGAGAACUGGGAUAAAAGGGAGAACAACUCUAAGACUUUUUAACCUAUUAUUAGAAAUUAAUAUCUGCAUUAAAAAGUGCAGCUUAGUUGAAGGGACGAUAAGACCCUAUAAAACUUUAUCAUUUUCUCUAAAAGUUUAGAAUAAAAUUAGAGAGGGGUGAUUGAACUGGGGCGGUAUCUAAAACUCUUUAGAAUAGAGAACACAUUAAGUGAAAAGCUUUAUCCUACAUGGAAUAAAAGUUACUUUAGGGAUAACAGCGCAAUUUCUUAAGGUGGUUACAUUUUAAUGAAGACUUGCGACCUCGAUGUUGAAUUGAGGGGCCAGUUUCCGUUGAGGAGGCUUGGGGGUCUGUUCGACCUUUAAAUCCUCACACGAUUUG